AACGAACGCUGGCGGCAGGCUUAACACAUGCAAGUCGAGCGCCCCGCCAGGGGAGUGGCAGACGGGUGAGUAACGCGUGGGAACGUACCUUUUGGUGCGGAACAACUCCGGGAAACUGGAGCUACUACCGGAUAAGCCCUAAAGGGGAAAGAUUUAUCGCCGAACGAUCGGCCCGCGUCUGAUUAGCUAGUUGGCGAGGUAACGGCGCACCAAGGCGACGGUCAGUAGCUGGUCUGAGAGGAUGAUCAGCCACACUGGGGCUGAGACACGGCCCAGACUCCUACGGGAGGCAGCAGUGGGGAAUAUUGGACAAUGGGCGCAAGCCUGAUCCAGCCAUGCCGCGUGAGUGAUGAAGGCCUUAGGGUUGUAAAGCUCUUUUGUCCGGGAAGAUAAUGACGGUACCGGAAGAAUAAGCCCCGGCUAACUUCGUG
rnacentral:rRNA from 1 species